CAGGCUGCCUCGCUAAACGAUGCACACCUGUAACUCACGUGACCCUGGUUAUUAUUGAAACAAGAACGAGGGCGUCGUGCCUUUAUAAGACUGCGUUAAUAGUUCCGUAGAGUUAUCCCUUCCGUUGUUGUUUAUUGAUUGUUAAACAUGGCGUCAUUUGCAAAGGUGGUUGUGUGUGUCCUCAUUGCUUGUGACUGUAAUGCAUUCGGUUUUCCGAAGAGAGAUGUGAACUUAAAGGCCUCUGCAGUUGACCGCCAAAGUGAUGAUGUGGUUGUCACCACAACACCCGUUCCCCACAACCAGACCACCUCUGCCCCUACUGAAGCUGGUGGUGCAAGUGAAGAUGCUGUGGCUACUACCCCAGCACCUAAUCCACACAACCAGACAACUUCUGCACAAACUGAAGUUACUGAUGGGGCCAGUGAAGAUGCUGUGGACCGCCAAAGUGAUGAUGUGGUUGUCGCCACAACACCCAAUCCCCACAACCAGACCACAUCUGUAGCUGGUGGAGAUGGAGCAAGUGAAGAUGAUGCAGAUGCAGAUGAAGAUGAUGCAGAUGAAGAUGAUGAUUCAGCAAGUGAAGAUGCUGUGGCUACCACCCCAACACCAAAUCCCCCAACUACAUCUGACCACACUGCAGCUACCGAUGAUGCAAGUGAGGGUGCUGUGGCUGCCCAAACUGGAGCUACUGUAUCCCAUACGACUGAAGUCUGAUUCGACUGCUCCUCUGGUCACAAUGACCUGUCUGGACUUUUUGCCUCUACAUGUUGACUGCAAUAAAGGACAGAUUUGUAUUUUUUAAUCAAAUGUUGUCUUGCCUUUUUCAAAUUGAGGCCUUGUCCUGUUUUGGUAGUGGAGAUGACUAUGAAGCCUCUUUCCUAACGUAUUUCCUGUAGUGGUUUUACUAUAUGCUUCAUGCAACAAGGCCUUCAACGACUCUACAAUUUAAAAGCAUCUAGUUUUGUCUGAAUUUGUAAAAUGGUUGAACUGGUAGUGAUGCAC
ensembl:lncRNA